GACGAACGCUGGCGGCGUGCCUAAUACAUGCAAGUUGAGCGAUGAAGAUUGGUGCUUGCUCCAAUUUGAAGAGCAGCGAACGGGUGAGUAACGCGUGGGGAAUCUGCCUUUGAGCGGGGGACAACAUUUGGAAACGAAUGCUAAUACCGCAUAACAACUUUAAACAUAAGUUUUAAGUUUGAAAGAUGCAAUUGCAUCACUCAAAGAUGAUCCCGCGUUGUAUUAGCUAGUUGGUGAGGUAAAGGCUCACCAAGGCGAUGAUACAUAGCCGACCUGAGAGGGUGAUCGGCCACAAUGGGAAUGAGACACGGCCCAAACUCCUACGGGAGGCAGCAGUAGGGAAUCUUCGGGAAUGGACGAAAGUCUGACCGAGCAACGCCGCGUGGGUGAAGAAGGUUUUCGGAUCGUAAAACUCUGUUGGUAGAGAAGAACGUUGGUGAGAGUGGAAAGCUCAUCAAGUGACGGUAACUACCCAGAAAGGGACGGCUAACUACGUG
rnacentral:rRNA from 1 species